UGCAUGAUUUUGUACCUCAUUUCCGUCGCAAAUGUCUACUUUUCGAGUUAUGCCUCGUUUCAAGUUAUGCCUAUCCCCUUCCCUAAACGAUCUUGGGGGACCUGUGGGAACAUGGUUUUUUUGGGUGGGGGAGCAUGAAAUUGACUAAUAUGCAUUUAAAAUGAGGUCGAGAAAUCAACAAAAUCGCAUUAGAACACCAGUGAAAAGGCAUAGCUUACAUUUGUUUUGGUUGGAGCUGGGGAAGCGGCCAUUGCGAUGUAAGCAGAGUUGCCAACGAUCCGCUAUGGGUGAGCAGUGUUGCCAACGACGUGCUGUAGAAGCGAGCAUAAGAAAGUGAACAGUGUUGCCAACGAUCCCCUACAUUUAGCAAAAAUACCUGCGGUCACGGGGAGGUGAGCAGCAUUGCCAUUUCUUUUUUACAGCAAAGGAAAAUCGUUGGUUGGGUGAAACUGUAAAUUGUCCCACUUUUCUAAUAUUUUUUCAACAAUUUAGAAAAUCCAAUUCCUGUUCAACAGAAUUAUUUGCAACGAGUGACAUGCAAUGAACAAAAUUCCUUCAAGUAUCGGUAGUAUCGGCAGAAAAUCAGCCAAUACCGAUAAUCUUAAAAUGUGCCGAUACCACCGAUACCGAUACAUCGGUACAUCCUUGGUGUACACCAGUGUGCUUGUGGCCUUAAUAAUGAGUCAGCUGUUUGCUUCCCUUAACAGUCCUUCCUGCAGUGAAUCAAGCUGCUGGAAGUGUGUAUACCAGUGUGCUUGUGGCCUUAAUAAUGAGUCAGUUUUGUUCAUCCAUUUUUUCAGAGCUUGAUCAAAGGUGUUUAAGGAUCCCAGUAAAGAGACAGAGUAAUAAAGAGACAACAGCUAAUGUGGUGGAUGGUAAAAGUACAUGAUGAGAGAGGCAGCAUCACGCACCCUUGUAAAUAAGACUUAAGUAAAGGAAGAUGUGUAACCCUUCCUCCUCCUCCCUCCAGGAACUUCAACCUCCUGUCCUUGGUGAGGAGGCAGAAGAGGAGGAGGUUCUGGCGGCCACCAACAACUUCUCAACCGAAGGAAACUCCGCCACGACAUCGCCAUGGACCCGACACUCUCCAAGGCCCUCGACAGUGACAGCGACCUUCUCCACAGGCUGGUGCUGGUGCCGGGGGCUGCUGCUCAAGGCUGUCAGGUCAGGCUGUAGUGGGAGCGUGGCGCGUCUUAAGAACAUGAAUCUUACCCUAACUCUGUGCCCGGCAGGGUGAAGAAGAAACUUCAGCACCAGAGAAGGAGAGAAGGCGAGGCUCUGGAUGGGAUGGAAGAAGACAGUGGCGAGGAGGGGGUGAGGCAGGAGAAGAAGGAAGAAGAGGCGCCUGCUUACAGAUCAGUGCUGGAGGAGGAGGAGAGAGCACAGGGAACAAGGUGAGGUGCCAGCCAGCAGUGGACAGUGUCAGCGCCAGGAGCUCAGGAACCUUACCAGCAGCACCACAGGCAGGAUGACCCAGGACCAAGCAUAGUAGUAGUAGUUGUAGUGGUUGUAGUAGUAGUAAGCAUGAUUCCUACUGUCCAAAACUCCAUCCUCCUUCCUUAUUUUCUUCUCCAUGCUUUUCCUUGUGUCUCCUCUCUGUCACCAUCCUUCUGCCCUUCUCCUCUCUGUCACCAUCCUUCUGCCCUUCUCCUCUCUGUCACCAUCCUUCUGCCCUUCUCCUCUCUGUCACCAUCCUUCUGCCCUUCAUCCUCUCCAUAUUUUUUUCUCCAUGUUUUCCCUCAUGUCUCCUUUCUGUCACCAUCCUCCUGCUUCUCAUCCUCUCUCCAUAUUUUCUUCUCCAUGCUUCCCCUCGUUUCUCCUCUCUGUCAUUCUCCUCCUGCCCUUCAUCCUCUCUCCAUA